rnacentral:rRNA from 1 species
GGAUUAGUGGCGAACGGGUGAGUAAUACGUGAGUGACCUACCUUUGACUCUGGGAUAAGCCUGGGAAACUGGGUCUAAUACCGGAUACGACCAAUCUCCGCAUGGGGUGUUGGUGGAAAGCGUUAUGGAGUGGUUUUAGAUGGGCUCACGGCCUAUCAGCUUGUUGGUGAGGUAAUGGCUUACCAAGGCGACGACGGGUAGCCGGCCUGAGAGGGUGACCGGCCACACUGGGACUGAGACACGGCCCAGACUCCUACGGGAGGCAGCAGUGGGGAAUAUUGCACAAUGGGCGCAAGCCUGAUGCAGCGACGCCGCGUGAGGGAUGACGGCCUUCGGGUUGUAAACCUCUGUUAGCAUCGAAGAAGCGAAAGUGACGGUAGGUGCAGAGAAAGCGCCGGCUAACUACGUGCCAGCAGCCGCGGUAAUACGUAGGGCGCGAGCGUUGUCCGGAAUUAUUGGGCGUAAAGAGCUUGUAGGCGGUUGGUCGCGUCUGCUGUGAAAGGCUGGGGCUUAACCCUGGUUUUGCAGUGGGUACGGGCUAACUAGAGUGCAGUAGGGGAGACUGGAAUUCCUGGUGUAGCGGUGGAAUGCGCAGAUAUCAGGGAGGAACACC